UUUUAUGGAGAGUUUGAUCCUGGCUCAGGAUGAACGCUGGCGGCGUGCCUAAUACAUGCAAGUCGAGCGAACGGACGAGAAGCUUGCUUCUCUGAUGUUAGCGGCGGACGGGUGAGUAACACGUGGAUAACCUACCUAUAAGACUGGGAUAACUUCGGGAAACCGGAGCUAAUACCGGAUAAUAUUUUGAACCGCAUGGUUCAAAAGUAAAAGACGGUCUUGCUGUCACUUAUAGAUGGAUCCGCGCUGCAUUAGCUAGUUGGUAAGGUAACGGCUUACCAAGGCAACGAUGCAUAGC
rnacentral:rRNA from 1 species